AUACGUAGGUGACAAGCGUUAUCCGGAUUUACUGGGCGUAAAGGGCGUGUAGGCGGUCUUGCAAGUCAGAAGUGAAAUUCCUGAGCUCAACUCGGGCGCUGCUUCUGAAACUGCCGGACUUGAGUGCUGGAGGGGCUAGCGGAAUUCCUAGUGGAGCGGUAAAAUGCGCAGAUGUUAGGAAGAACACCGGGGGCGAAGGCGUGUAUCUGGGAUUGAUCGUAAGCGUGGACGCCAGUGCGGGGGGAGCAAACAGGAUUAAAGACCGUGUUAUCCCACGCCGUAAACGAGGAAUACUAGGUUUAGGGGGUAUCGACUCCCUCUGGGCCGCAGUUAACACAAUAAGUAUUCCGCCUGGGGAGUACGGCCGCACGGUUGAAGCUGAAAUGAAUGGGCAGGG
rnacentral:rRNA from 1 species